AUUGAACGCUGGCGGCAGGCCUAACACAUGCAAGUCGAACGAGUGGCGGAGGUGUGAGUAGUGUCUGGGAAACUGCCUGAGGGAGGGGGAACACGAGUGGAAACGGUAGAGAACACCGUAUACUAUCAGAUGUGCCCAUAUGGGAUUGGCUAGUUGGUGGGGUAAGGGCUCACCAAGGCGACGAUCCCUAGCUGGUCUGAGAGGAUGACCAGCCACACUGGAACUGAGACACGGUCCAGACUCCUACGGGAGGCAGCAGUGGGGAAUAUUGCACAAUGGGCGCAAGCCUGAUGCAGCCAUGCCGCGUGUAUGAAGAAGGCCUUCGGGUUGUAAAGUACUUUCAGCGGGGAGGCGUUACCCGCAGAAGAAGCACCGGCUAACUCCGUGCCAGCAGCCGCGGUAAUAC
rnacentral:rRNA from 1 species